GGGGUUGUGGCUCAGCGGUAGAGCACUCGCCUCCCACAUGUGAGACCCUGGGUUCGAUCCUCAGCACCACA
rnacentral:tRNA from 1 species